rnacentral:rRNA from 1 species
UUCCGGUUGAUCCUGCCGGACCUGACUGCUAUCGGAUUGAUACUAAGCCAUGCGAGUCUUUGUAGUAAUACAAGGCAGACGGCUCAGUAACGCGUAGUCAACCUACCCUAUGGACGGGAAUAAUCUCGGGAAACUGAGCAUAAUACCCGGCGUACCACCAUUCCUGGAAUGGUUGGUGGUUAAAAUGAUUCGUCGCCGUAGGAUGGGACUGCGACCUAUCAGCUUGUUGGUGAGGUAAAGGCCCACCAAGGCGAUUACAGGUACGGGCUCUGAGAGGAGAAGCCCGGAGAUGGGUACUGAGACACGGACCCAGGCCCUAUGGGGCGCAGCAGGCGAGAAAACUUUGCAAUGUGCGAAAGCACGACAAGGUUAAUCCGAGUGAUUUCUGCUAAAGGAAUCUUUUGCCAGUUCUAAAAAUACUAGUGAAUAAGGGGUGGGCAAGUUCUGGUGUCAGCCGCCGCGGUAAAACCAGCACCUCAAGUGGUCAGGAGGAUUAUUGGGCCUAAAGCAUCCGUAGCCUGCUCUGUAAGUUUUCGGUUAAAUCUAUAUGCUCAACGUAUAGGCUGCCGAAAAUACUGCAGUGCUAGGAAGUGGGAGAGGUAGACGGUACUUGAUAGGAAGGGGUAAAAUCCUUUGAUCUAUCGAUGACCACCUGUGGCGAAGGCGGUCUACCAGAACACGUUCGACGGUGAGGGAUGAAAGCUGGGGGAGCAAACCGGAUUAGAUACCCGGGUAGUCCCAGCUGUAAACGAUGCAGACUCGAUGAUGCAUUGGCAUAUAGCCAGUGCAGUGUCGCAGGGAAGCCGUUAAGUCUGCCGCCUGGGAAGUACAUACGCAAGUAUGAACUUAAAGGAUUGGCGGGGAGCAC